GAUGAACGCUAGCGGCAGGCCUAACACAUGCAAGUCGAGGGGCAGCACAGAAACAGCAAUGUUUUGGUGGCGACCGGCGGACGGGUGCGUAACGCGUAUGCAACCUACCUUUAACAGGGGGAUAACGGAGAGAAAUUUCCACUAAUACCCCAUAACAUCGAUCAAGGCAUCUUGAUUGGUUGAAAACUCCGGUGGUUAAAGAUGGGCAUGCGUUGUAUUAGGUAGUUGGUGAGGUAAUGGCUCACCAAGCCUACGAUACAUAAGGGGACUGAGAGGUCAGCCCCCCACACUGGUACUGAGACACGGACCAGACUCCUACGGGAGGCAGCAGUGAGGAAUAUUGGUCAAUGGGGGCAACCCUGAACCAGCCAUGCCGCGUGCAGGAAGACGGCUCUAUGAGUUGUAAACUGCUUUUAAACAGGGAUAAAGCACAGUAUGUAUACUGUGUUGAAGGUACUGUAAGAAUAAGGAUCGGCUAACUCCGUGCCAGCAGCCGCCGUAA
rnacentral:rRNA from 1 species